rnacentral:rRNA from 1 species
UGAAACAUCUAAGUACCUGAAGGAAGAGAAAGAAAUUCGAUUCCGUAAGUAGCGGCGAGCGAACGCGGAUUAGCCCAAACCAAUAAAGUUUUCUUUAUUGGGGUUGCGGACAUAUCAUAACGAAGAGGUAUCGUAAUUGAAGAGGUUUGGAAAGACCCACCACAGAAGGUAAUAGUCCUGUAUGUUAAACGAGAAGACUUUAGAUAUGAUCCAGAGUACCACGGGACACGUGAAACCCUGUGGGAAGCAGGAGGGACCACCCUCCAAGGCUAAAUACUACCUAGUGACCGAUAGCGUAUAGUACCGUGAGGGAAAGGUGAAAAGAACCCCGGGAGGGGAGUGAAAUAGAACCUGAAACCCUGCACUUACAAGCUGUGGAAGCACAUUUCUUGUGUGACCGCGUACUUUUUGUAGAACGGGCCAACGAGUUACGUUAAGUAGCAAGGUUAAGCACUUAAGGUGCGGAGCCGUAGCGAAAGCGAGUUUUAACUGAGCGUUCAGUUACUUGACGUAGACCCGAAACCGGGCGACCUACCCAUGAGCAGGAUGAAGCGAAAGUAAAAUUUCGUGGAGGUCCGAACCCACGAGCGUUGAAAAGCUCGGGGAUGACUUGUGGGUAGCGGUGAAAUUCCAAUCGAGCCCGGAGAUAGCUGGUUCUCCCCGAAAUAGCUUUAGGGCUAGCCUCAAGGUGAGAGAUACGGAGGUAGAGCACUG